AUAUGAUCACGCAUGUUAAAAGAUAUAUAUCUCGUCAAUACGAGGUUUACGCUACUAUUUUUAUUUUUUAUUUUUGAAAAGUUUGAUCAUUUAAUAUGGAAUCUAACUUAUAAUAUGGUAUUAGACUUCGUUAAGUUUCAACUAACAAUUCAAUCUGAUUAAAACUUAAAUGAAUAUAAUGAUUUUAAUAUUAAUCUGUUCAAACAAAACCACAGUAUUGCGAAGCAUGUAAAGGCAUAAAUUCAAUAUCAAUCUGAAAUAUAAACGAAUAUAAAAGAAUUUAGACUAUCCCUCUUAACAAGGUAGAUCUUUUCAGAUGGAUCCAUGUUUUAAUAAUACGUACACGUCCCAAAAUAUCAAUAAGUCGCCAAUCAUGUGUGGUAAUUCUUGGAAUGAGUUGGUUCAACAUUGAAUCGAAGCAAACAAAACCUUUGAUAAAAAAGGGGGGAAAAAUAGCUUGCACUUGAGGCCUUGUUGUCAGUAACACAUAAUUUAAAUAAAUUAGCUCGUCCCUCUUUAACAACUAAAAUUUUGUAGACGUGGUGAUUCAAUACAUGACAGUUAUUACUUCAUUUUUUUUUCCCAUUUUGUGUUUGUAUACGCAGAGAUGCAAACGGGGGAAGCACAAGAUUGUCCAAGGUGGCUCUCAGAGAUAUACGAACAACCUUGCGAUAUUGAAACUUGUUAUGCCUAUUGCCGUGGUGUCGAAGGUGCUUAUUCGGGAGGUUGUGGAACUUUCAACAGCGAAUUAGAAUAUGUUUGCGUAUGUGGUAAUGAAUGCUGACUGAAUUGCAGUUUUUGCUAUCUUUAACUCUUAUCAUAUAAAAAUAAAAGCAACUAUUGCUUCAAUAUUAAUAAAAUUUUCGUGCUCGUUUUUCAUUUUUUUUUUUCUCAAAAUUUUCUGGCUGCGUCCAGUGAAAAUUUUUCCCAACACCUUGGUGUCUCCAUUGACUUCAAGUCAAAAUCUUUGAAUGCCAUGUGUAUAUUUGAUAAAUACGACACAAUCUUUCAUAGUUUACAUUGCUCUCAAGAUAUCAUGAAUUGGACAACUCCA
rnacentral:lncRNA from 1 species